rnacentral:rRNA from 1 species
GACGAACGCUGGCGGCGUGCCUAAUACAUGCCAGUAGAACGCUGAAGGAGGAGCUUGCUUCUCUGGAUGAGUUGCGAACGGGUGAGUAACGCGUAGGUAACCUGCCGGGUAGCGGGGGAUAACUAUUGGAAACGAUAGCUAAUACCGCAUAAGAGUAGAUGUUGCAUGACAUUUGCUUAAAAGGUGCAAUUGCAUCACUACCAGAUGGACCUGCGUUGUAUUAGCUAGUUGGUGGGGUAACGGCUCACCAAGGCGACGAUACAUAGCCGACCUGAGAGGGGGAUCGGCCACACUGGGACUGAGACACGGCCCAGACUCCUACGGGAGGCAGCAGUAGGGAAUCUUCGGCAAUGGACGGAAGUCUGACCGAGCAACGCCGCGUGAGUGAAGAAGGGUUUCGGAUCGUAAAGCUCUGUUGUAAGAGAAGAACGAGUGUGAGAGUGGAAAGUUCACACUGUGACGGUAUCUUACCAGAAAGGGACGGCUAACUACGUG